GAUGAACGCUGGCGGCGUGCCUAAUACAUGCAAGUCGAGCGAAUGGAUUAAGAGCUUGCUCUUAUGAAGUUAGCGGCGGACGGGUGAGUAACACGUGGGUAACCUGCCCAUAAGACUGGGAUAACUCCGGGAAACCGGGGCUAAUACCGGAUAACAUUUUGAACCGCAUGGUUCGAAAUUGAAAGGCGGCUUCGGCUGUCACUUAUGGAUGGACCCGCGUCGCAUUCGCUAGUUGGUGAGGUAACGGCUCACCAAGGCAACGAUGCGUAGCCGACCUGGGAGGGUGAUCGGCCACACUGGGACUGAGACACGGCCCAGACUCCUACGGGAGGCAGCAGAAGGGAAUCUUCCGCAAUGGACGAAAGUCUGACGGAGCAACGCCGCGUGAGUGAUGAAGGCUUUCGGGUCGUAAAACUCUGUUGUUAGGGAAGAACAAGUGCUAGUUGAAUAAGCUGGCACCUUGACGGUACCUAACCAGAAAGCCACGGCUAACUACGUGCCAGCCGCCGCCGUAA
rnacentral:rRNA from 1 species